CCUACGGGGGGCUGCAGUGGGGAAUAUUGGACAAUGGGCGAAAGCCUGAUCCAGCCAUGCCGCGUGUGUGAAGAAGGCCUUCGGGUUGUAAAGCACUUUCAGUGGGGAAGAAAGCCUUGGGGCUAAUACCCUCGAGGAAGGACAUCACCCACAGAAGAAGCACCGGCUAACUCCGUGCCAGCAGCCGCGGUAAUACGGAGGGUGCGAGCGUUAAUCGGAAUUACUGGGCGUAAAGCGCGCGUAGGCGGUCUGAUAAGCCGGUUGUGAAAGCCCCGGGCUCAACCUGGGAACGGCAUCCGGAACUGUCAGGCUAGAGUGCAGGAGAGGAAGGUAGAAUUCCCGGUGUAGCGGUGAAAUGCGUAGAGAUCGGGAGGAAUACCAGUGGCGAAGGCGACCUUCUGGACUGACACUGACGCUGAGGUGCGAAAGCGUGGGUAGCAAACAGGAUUAGAUACCCUUGUAGUC
rnacentral:rRNA from 1 species